CUUGGCUGUGAGGUGCUCUGCAGCUCCUCUGAACUGCUGCAGCAGUUGGGAUCUGACCCCUGCACCCACCAUUGCCCUGAGCCCAGCGGCUGGGGGACCUGGAGGAAGGCCACAGGCUGCCAGCUGGAACUGCCUGCGUGGGCAGACAUGAAGAACUCUUCAAAAGUAGAGGUGGUUAAGGUGUUAAAAAAAAAUGGAGGACACCAAGCUUCCCACAGU
rnacentral:lncRNA from 1 species